GUUGCCACUGAACGUGUCCCGCGCCCGUAAACACCUGAACGUAGCGCCCCGCCCCUUCCGGAUCUGCUUUUCUUCCGCGUUCACCUGAGCGAUGAACCGUCGACGACACCCAAGCUCACCGAACCCGACCGAUCCCGAAGAACCUGAUGGCUGAAAGCGUGAAGACUGAGCUGGUCAGCGCCAUCUACCUGCAGGAGGUGGAACUGUCGGAGCGGCGGGACGCCGAAAACCACAAUCACAAUGAAGGUGUGUGUGUGUGUGUUUUUUUAGAGCAGAUGUUCACGGUGGAGGAAGCGGUGGAGAGCAUCGGAUUCGGGAGAUUCCACAUCUUGCUCUUUGUCAUCAUGGGAAGCUCCAACAUUGUGGAGGCAAUGGAGAUCAUGUUGUUGGCAGUGGCGUCUCCCGAGAUUCGCUGCGAGUGGCGUCUGGAAGACUGGCAGGUGGCGCUGGUGUCAACUAUGGUGUUCUUUGGCUUUAUGGUGUGCGGCGUGAUCAGCGGCUACGUGGCUGACAAAUACGGCCGCUGGAAGGUGGUUUACGGAGGUUUCGUGUGCAGCGCCUACUUCUCGCUCCUCACCUCCUUCGCUCCGUCCUACGCUUGGUUCGUCUUCCUGCGCAGCAUGGUGGGCUGCGGCGUGGCAGGAGUCUCGCAAGGGUACGUGUUGAAGACGGAGUUCAUACCAGCCAAGUAUCGGGCCGUCCUGCUGCCCCUGGCCGCCAUCUUCUGGAUGUGCGGCUCGAUGCUGAUCAUCGUGCUGGGAAUGCUGGUGGUUCCCAGGCUGGGAUGGAGGUGGAUGAUCCGGAUCUCCGUGGCCCCGAGCGUCAUCCUCCUCUACCUCUUCAAGUUCAUUCCCGAGUCGGCUCGCUACAACGUGUCUGCUGGGAACGCCGCGGCCGCCAUGGAGACUCUCAAGUGGAUCGCCGAGAUGAACAAAGCGUCUCUGCCGCCCGGACGCUUGGUGGAGACGCUCGUGAAAGAGAGAGGCAGCUGGAGGGUUCUGCUCAACUCCACCUUCCGGAGGACGUCCUUGCUUCUCUGGUACUCGUGGUUUGUGGCGUCCUUUGCGUAUUACGGCUCGGUCCUGAGCAGUUCGGAGCUUCUGGAGAAGAAUUUGUUGUGUGUGACGGACGGCGACCGCGCGCAUCAGGUCAAACACCGCCUCGAGGGCAGCCAGUGUUACUGUGUCCCCUUCGCGUUCAGCGACUACCAGACGCUCCUCAUCAGCUGCCUGGGCGAGGUUUCACUCAUCCCAGUCAACAUCUUCCUACUGAACAUAUUCGGUCGGCGGCGGAGUUUGAUGGUGUUGCAGCUGGUGUCGGCCUUCUUCUUCCUGAUGCUGAAUAUCUGCACGAGCAUGUUCGGCUUCACGCUCCUUUUGUUCCUGCUGCGCGCUCUGGUCUCCAUGAACUUCACUGUGGUUUACAUCUACACGGCAGAGGUCUAUCCGACUGUAUCGCGUUCGCUCGGGAUGGGCUUUUGUACGUCGGUCAGUCGCAUCGGAGGAAUGAUCGCUCCCUUCAUUGCACAGGUGCUCAUGUCUCAGUCUGUGAUUCUGGCACUGAGUCCCUUCAGCAUCGCGUGCGCGCUCUGCGCUGCGGCGAGCUUCCUGUUGCCCAUCGAAACAAAAGGUCGAGCGCUGCUUCAACUCGCCUGAUGAUUCCCUCUGGCAAAAUAUCGAUCGGACAUUUUGACGAGGAGGGUGGCCCGGUGGUGCAGUUUACGGGGUCGAUUCGCCACAUCCGAUAUGGCGACGCGCUGCCGUACAUCCCAGCAACGGUCAUGCUCAAGGUGGGAUCUACGAUACGUCAUGUCUGUGGUAGAAACCCUUCACAGCCG